rnacentral:rRNA from 1 species
UGAUGACGAGACGCUAAGGCGUUGAAGCAGUGUAUGUCAGACUUCCAAGAAAAGCUCGCAAUGUCACAAAUAAAGAAUGCCUGUACCAUAACCGACACAGGUGGGUAGGUAGAGUAUACUAAGGGGCGCGAGAUAACUCUCUCUAAGGAACUCGGCAAAAUGACUCCGUAACUUCGGGAGAAGGAGUGCCUUAUUUAUAAGGUUGCAAUAACAAGAUCCAAGCAACUGUUUAUCAAAAACACAGGUCUCCGCUAAGUCGUAAGACGAUUAUGGGGGCUGACGCCUGCCCAGUGCCAGAAGGUUAAAGAAGUUGGUUAGUGUAUGCGAAGCUGAUGACUGAAGCCCUGGUGAACGGCGGCCGUAACGAUAACGGUCCUAAGGUAGCGAAAUUCCUUGUCGGGUAAGUUCCGACCCGCACGAAAGGCGUAAUGAUUUGGAUACUGUCUCGGAGAGAGGCUCGGUGAAAUAGACUUGUCUGUGAAGAUGCGGACUACCUGCACCAGGACAGAAAGACCCUAUGAAGCUUUACUGUAACUUGAAAUUGGAAUUGGACUUUGCUUGCGCAGUAUAGGUGGGAAGCGUUGAAAAUAUUCUUGCGGGAGUAUUGGAGCUAUCAGUGAGAUACCACUCUUGUAAUGUUAGAUUCUAACUUUGAACCAUAAUCUGGUCAAAGAACAGUUUCAGGUGGGCAGUUUGACUGGGGCGGUCGCCUCCCAAAUGGUAACGGAGGCGUACAAAGGUUUCCUCUGAACGGAUAGAAAUCGUAUCUAGAGUGUAAAGGCAUAAGGAAGCUUGACUGUGAGACCUACAAGUCGAGCAGGGACGAAAGUCGGUCUUAGUGAUCUGACGGUACUGAGUGGAAAGGCCGUCACUCAACGGAUAAAAGUUACUCUAGGAUAACAGGCUGAUCUCCCCCAAGAGUUCACAUCGACGGGGAGGUUUGGCACCUCGAUGUCGGCUCAUCGCAUCCUGGGGCGGUAGUACGUCCCAAGGGUUGGGCUGUUCGCCCAUGAAAGCGGUACGCGAGCUGGGUUCAGAACGUCGUGAGACAGUUCGGUCCAUAUCCGGUGUAGGCGCUAGAAUAUUGAGAGGAGCCUUCUUUAGUACGAGAGGACCGAGAAGGACACACCGCUGGUGUACCAGUUAUCGUGCCAAUGGUAAACGCUGGGUAGCUAUGUGUGGAGCGGAUAACCGCUGAAAGCAUCUAAGUGGGAAGCCCACCUCGAGAUGAG